rnacentral:rRNA from 1 species
GGACCCGCACAAGCGGUGGAGUAUGUGGUUUAAUUCGAUGCAACGCGAAGAACCUUACCAGGGUUUGACAUCCUGCGAAUCUCUUGGAAACAGGAGAGUGCCUUCGGGAACGCAGUGACAGGUGGUGCAUGGCUGUCGUCAGCUCGUGUCGUGAGAUGUUGGUUAAGUCCCGCAACGAGCGCAACCCACGUCGUUAGUUGCCAGCAUUUAGUUGGGCACUCUAGCGAGACCGCCGGUGAUAAACCGGAGGAAGGUGUGGAUGACGUCAAGUCAUCAUGCCCCUUACAUCCUGGGCUACACACGUACUACAAUGCUACGGACAAAGGGCAGCAAACUCGCGAGAGCUAGCAAA